CGUAGUACUGCGAGUGAAGAGGGAAGAGCUCAAAUUUGUAAUCUGGCAGUCAUAUGGCUGUCCGAGUUGUAAGUUAGAGAAGUGACAUCCGUGCUGGCCUGCACAAAAGUCCCUUGGAAAAGGGCAUCAUAGAGGGUGACAAUCCCGUCUUUGGUGCAGACCACCAGUGCAUUUGUGAUGCGCUCUCAAUGAGUCGAGUUGUUUGGGAAUGCAGCUCCAAAUGGGUGGUAAAUUCCAUCUAAAGCUAAAUAUGGGCGAGAAACCGAUAGCGCACAAGUACCGUGAGGGAAAGAUGAAAAGGACUUUGAAAAGAGAGUUAAACAGUACGUGAAAUUGUUGAAAGGGAAACGCUUGAAGUCAGUCAUAUCCCUCAGAAAUCAACCCACCCAUUGGGUCAGGUGCAUUUUCUGUGUUGGAUGGGUCAGCAUCAAUUUUGACCAUUGGAUAAAGGGCUUGGGAAUGUGGCAUCUCCGGAUGUGUUAUGACCAUGUCUGCAUACAAUGGUUGGGAUUGAGGAACUCAGGAUGCUGGCAUAAUGGCUUUAAUCGACCCGCNGNCCCCCGGCCCACCANCCNGNNUGGGGGGCAGGUCAAACAGAAUUUUAUGGCGCGGAAACGCGGGGGGGGCCCCCUCUAAAUUGAAUAAUAAAGGUUGGUUUCCGUUUCCCUUUUUAAGUAAAAAGACAAUUCCAAAAAANACACACAUUUCAAAUUCCGAACACAUUUCCUUGGNUGAAUUCAUACUACCAUCAAAGAAGAAAUCACCUCACUAUGGUCUGGUGAUUUCGUAGCGAAUUGAACGAGUGANGGUUCUCUCUUCAACCUCCUCCNGUU
rnacentral:rRNA from 1 species